CACCCGAUAGCACAUGGUGUGCCCCUGCGAGCUGUAAUUGAUUCAUAGAACAUCUGUUGUGCAGGAGGCCCUCGUUCAAUUCGGGGUUGGGUGA